ACGGAAGGCAGCAGUGGGGAAUAUUGGACAAUGGGGGAAACCCUGAUCCAGCGACGCCGCGUGAGUGAAGAAGUAUUUCGGUAUGUAAAGCUCUAUCAGCAAGGAAGAAAAUGACGGUACUUGACUAAGAAGCUCCGGCUAAAUACGUGCCAGCAGCCGCGGUAAUACGUAUGGAGCAAGCGUUAUCCGGAUUUACUGGGUGUAAAGGGAGCGUAGACGGCGAAACAAGUCUGAAGUGAAAUCCCGGGGCUCAACCCCGGAACUGCUUUGGAAACUGUAUUGCGAGAGUGCAGGAGAGGUAAGCGGAAUUCCUAGUGUAGCGGUGAAAGGCGUAGAUAUUAGGAGGAACACCAGUGGCGAAGGCGGCUUACUGGACUGUAACUGACGUUGAGGCUCGAAAGCGUGGGGAGCAAACAGGAUUAGAUACCCUGGUA
rnacentral:rRNA from 1 species